rnacentral:tRNA from 1 species
GUUAAUGUAGCUUAACAUCUAAAGCAAGGCACUGAAAAUGUCUAGAUGGGCUGUAAUACCCCAUAAACA